rnacentral:rRNA from 1 species
UACGUAGGGUGCAAGCGUUGUCCGGAAUUAUUGGGCGUAAAGAGCUCGUAGGCGGUUUGUCGCGUCGAAUGUGAAAACCCGGGGCUCAACCCCGGGCCUGCAUUCGAUACGGGCAGACUAGAGUUCGGUAGGGGAGUCUGGAAUUCCUGGUGUAGCGGUGAAAUGCGCAGAUAUCAGGAGGAACACCGGUGGCGAAGGCGGGACUCUGGGCCGAUACUGACGCUGAAGCACGAAAGCGUGGGGAGCAAACAGG